UCAUCGAUGUGACCUUUCCUUUAUCAAUCUUAGCUGAUAUUAAAACCAAAGGAUAUUCAUUAGGUUAAACAAAUGUCCCCGUUCUGCUUUAGGGUGGGUGUUUAGUAAAACGUAUUUGGAUGCCGAGUGACGUCUCCGCCGCUCCACCGUCCGCUGCGGAGGUUCUCAGUUUCCUCGGGAAAACGGUCGGCGCAGGCGCGGCACUGACAGCUGCUGUCUACUUACUCCGCAAAGUGUGUUUAAUAAUGGCCUGGAAAUCCGGAGGAGCAAGUCACGCAGAGCUUGUUAACAACCUCCGCAAAAAUGGAAUCAUCAAGUCCGACAAGGUCUAUGAAGUCAUGCUGGCCACAGACCGAGCCCAUUUCUCCAGGUGUAAUCCCUACAUGGACUCUCCACAGUCAAUAGGCUAUCAAGCAACCAUCAGCGCCCCACACAUGCACGCCUACGCCCUGGAGCUUCUACACGACCAGCUGUAUGACGGAGCCAAAGCUCUGGACGUGGGCUCCGGCAGCGGAAUCCUGUCCGCCUGCUUUGCACGAAUGGUCGGAGCGAAAGGGAAAGUUAUAGGAAUUGAUCAUAUCAAAGAGCUGGUAGAUGAUUCUGUAACUAAUGUGAAGAAAGAUGACCCCAGUUUGAUAACAUCGGGCAGAGUCAAGCUAUUAGUGGGAGACGGGCGAAUGGGCCACACCGAGGAAGCGCCUUACGAUGCCAUCCACGUUGGUGCAGCGGCCCCCAAUGUCCCCCAAGCGCUCCUGGACCAGCUGAAGCCCGGCGGCCGGCUCAUUCUGCCCGUCGGCCCGGCGGGGGGGAACCAGAUGCUGGAGCAGUACGACAAGCUGGAGGACGGCAGCACCAAGAUGAAGCCCCUGAUGGGAGUGAUUUAUGUGCCUUUAACAGACAAAGACAAGCAGUGUUCCAGGUGGAAGUGACUUCUCCCUCCCCCCCUCACCCCUCCGCCUCCUCUCACGGUCUCCUCUCACAGUGGAAAAGGGAUGAACUUUGAAGAGGAAGACGGUCGGUGAUCCACCUUUAACGUUUUGAACCCGGAGGGAACCAGGACGGGGUCAAUUGGGUCGAAAGCGUAACAAAACAUGCUCUUUUUUUGUUUAAGUCUAACGAUGGACUAGAGUAUCGCAUUGUCGACAGCCCAGGCGGGCCGUGAAGAAAGACUGCUAAAGCUCGGCACAGAAAAAUACUGAGAGACAUUUCUUUUUUUUUCUUUUUUUUCAAGCUUGCAUCUUUUGGUCUGUGUAUUAUUUUUAACUGCUGGAUUUAAGGUUUUGAUUGUGUUCUUUUGUGUUUAGAUUUUUUUUGGGGUCACCAUUGGGGUCACCAUUUGAAAUGCAAUCAGCAAUUUCUACAUUACUACAAUUCAGCAACAUCAAAGCUGAACGUGGGAGGAACGCUGGACAACGACCUGGAAGGCCUGAAUCUUUACAUAAGUCAAGUAGCUUCCGUGUGCAUGCGUGUGUGACUGGAUCAUCCAACUAUAGACCUUUCUGCUAACCUGAGCUCUCCCCCUGCCAGCAGUAUUGGGAACAUGCACACAGGCAGCACUAUGGCUGACCCACACAACCUGUUUGAUGAGCAGCACUGUUAACGUUAUUCUACACAGGGAAUAAGCCACACGUUGGAUCACACUGGAUAUCCUCCAAAAAGAGUCAUGCACUAACAACAGCGUGCACACGCGCACACACACACACACACACACAUUCACACACAUCCGGGGCUGUGCUGGCCACCUGGCCGUGUUUUGCUUUCUGGCGCUGGUUUUCCAUCAGAGAAUGAAUGCAGGCUCUUUUCACUGCUUUGCCAAAAUAAACUUCAACGAUAUAAAGCAAAUGAAUGUUUUUGUUUCUCUAAAUCAAAAAGCACUUUUUAUUUAGGGAGAAGAUGAUGUAUGGCUGUCGGACUUUAUGGAAUGGCACAUGAUGAAAAUAAAGAGAUGCUUAUAUUUU